rnacentral:rRNA from 1 species
AUGUUGCGCCGUUGCCGCGCUGUCCGCAGCUGCUCUAGCCGUUGCUGUUGCUCUGCUAGCUGCGCUUACUACUGUCUGCUUUCUGCCGCUGCUGCUUUGUUGUUCUGCUGCCGCUGCCGCCUUGCUCUUUGCUGCUGGUACUCUUGCCGUAGCUACUGCUCUUUGCUAUUGCCUCUACGUACUGCAGCUCCGGUUACUAGCUGCUGUUGCUCACGGCUUUGCAUGCCAUGGCCAUGGCCAAGUGCAUCAUGUGCGUGCUGUGUGUGGGUGGCCGGGUGGCCAAUUGGCAGUGGUGGCCGGCCCUGA